rnacentral:rRNA from 1 species
AGAACGAACGCUGGCGGCAUGCCUAAUACAUGCAAGUCGAACGAACUCUUCGGAGUUAGUGGCGCACGGGUGCGUAACGCGUGGGAAUCUGCCCUUGGGUUCGGAAUAACAGUUGGAAACGACUGCUAAUACCGGAUGAUGACGAAAGUCCAAAGAUUUAUCGCCCAGGGAUGAGCCCGCGUAGGAUUAGCUAGUUGGUGAGGUAAAGGCUCACCAAGGCGACGAUCCUUAGCUGGUCUGAGAGGAUGAUCAGCCACACUGGGACUGAGACACGGCCCAGACUCCUACGGGAGGCAGCAGUAGGGAAUAUUGGACAAUGGGCGAAAGCCUGAUCCAGCAAUGCGCGUGAGUGAUGAAGGCCUUAGGGUUGUAAAGCUCUUUUACCCGAGAUGAUAAUGACAGUAUCGGGAGAAUAAGCCCCGGCUAACUCCGUGCCAGCAGCCG